GCGGGCUCCCGGCUUUCAGGCUCCGCGCAGUCUGCGGGCGGGAGGGUGCCGGCGAGGUGGUGAGGGCGGCGGGUGCGGGGGCACAGCCGCCCUGGCCAAAUCCCGAGACCGGAGGACAUCCCCCUCCCAGCGCUCUCACACGGGCAACUUCCCGCUGCCCUGGACGGAGUUUCUCCGUUGCUCACGGACAUCCAGGAGGCGGUGUGGAGGGCAAGCAGGGUAACCCCCACUCUUAACCCACAUCUGUCCAAGGGGAGCCCGAGGAGUCAGCAGGUCCGGACUCGCUGAGGAGGCUCCACGCGGGGCCUCCCAUGCACAGACCUUCGGCCUUGUCCCGUCACUGCUGGUGCAGGAGCUGCGCAGGAUGGGAGGGUGGCCCAGCUCCAGCAGAGAUGCCUCAGGUGGCUGGACAAUGAUGCUUUGUUGGAGGUGAUCCCAGCACCCAGGGAGACAUGUCCACACUGGCCUUCUCAUCUGGAAGCCCCUGGCAGGCAAGAUCUGAGAGAGGCCUAAGGAAAGCACGUUACAGAACUUAGACCAAUUACCUGUGGCCAGUGUGGGAGAAGCUGGAGCAGAGCGGGGACACUGAGGACCUGUCUCCACAUCUUAGCUUGUGGUUUAGGUUUGUCAGGGCUCAGGAGGGAACCCGGAAGGUGAGAGUCUUAUUGGGGAACACAUUAU